rnacentral:rRNA from 1 species
AGCGAACGCUGGCGGCAGGCUUAACACAUGCAAGUCGAGCGCCCCGCAAGGGGAGCGGCAGACGGGAGAGUAACACGUGGGAACGUACCCUUCAGUUCGGAACAACCCAGGGAAACUUGGGCUAAUACCGAAUACGUCCGUAAGGAGAAAGAUUUAUCGCUGAAGGAUCGGCCCGCGUCUGAUUGGCUAGUUGGUGAGGUAACGGCUCACCAAGGCGACGAUCAGUAACUGGUCUGAGAGGAUGAUCAGCCUCACUGGGACUGAGACACGGCCCAGACUCCUACGGGAGGCAGCAGUGGGGAAUAUUGGACAAUGGGCGCAAGCCUGAUCCAGCCAUGCCGCGUGGAUGAUGAAGGCCUUAGGGUUGUAAAGUCCUUUUAACGGGGAAGAUAAUGACGGUACCCGUAGAAUAAGCCCCGGCUAACUUCGUGCCAGCCGCCGCGGUAA